rnacentral:rRNA from 1 species
AUUGAACGCUGGCGGCAGGCCUAACACAUGCAAGUCGAGCGGAUGAAGGGAGCUUGCUCCUGGAUUCAGCGGCGGACGGGUGAGUAAUGCCUAGGAAUCUGCCUGGUAGUGGGGGAUAACGUCCGGAAACGGGCGCUAAUACCGCAUACGUCCUGAGGGAGAAAGUGGGGGAUCUUCGGACCUCACGCUAUCAGAUGAGCCUAGGUCGGAUUAGCUAGUUGGUGGGGUAAAGGCCUACCAAGGCGACGAUCCGUAACUGGUCUGAGAGGAUGAUCAGUCACGCGAGACAUGCGACACGGUCAAGACUGAGACGUGGGGGAGACGUGGGAAGUAUGGGACGAUGGGCGAAUCCGUCCGCCAGCCACGGGGUGUGUGUGAAUAGGGUCUUCGGAGUGAAAAUCACUGUACGGUGGGAGGAAGGGAAUUAGGUUAAUGCGUUUCUGUUUUGACUGUCCUAACAGAAUGAGCAUCGGCUACCUCCCUCCGAGCACCGCGUAAGAGUCGGAAGAGACCUGUCUGAAC